rnacentral:tRNA from 1 species
GUCACGAUAGCUCAGUGGUAGAGCAACGGCGUAUUCAGCCGAAGGUCGUGGGUUCGAAUCCCGCUCGUGACA